rnacentral:tRNA from 1 species
GCCUUCGUAGUGUAAUGGUCAGCACACUCGGCGCGUAUUCGAGAGGUCCGAGGUUCGAGUCCCGGCGAGGGCA